CGCAGGCCCGCCGAGGAGUUGCUGUAGUCCCAGUGGUUGCCCCCCUGUCCGGUCGCCUCCGCCUCGGCCGUUAAAGUCAGCGUUUCUCGGAGUGCGCACAAGAAGCGACUAGGCUGCACUGGCCCGCAUCGACACACCCACUCCCUCACACUGUGGCUGCAGGGAGAGCGAGAGGAACACAGAGAGACAGGGAGAGGAAGAGAAAAGAAGUCCUGGCAGUGAUGGGCCAGCCUGAGAGAGCUUGUUGUUGAGUUCAAGCUCUAAAGCUGUCCCACUUCCACUGGAAGGAAAAUACAGCCUGUGAUGUCAAGAUCACAAAACAUCUCCAGGAGAAAAGCUUCAGAGCUAAUGACAAGGAUGUCGCCUCCUGCCUUUCAAAAUCAGCCUGGAAGUUGAUCACAUCGGAAGAGAUCCCUUGGGCUGUUUGUGAGAUCAUUUCAUGUUUUGUUUCCCUGUGAUCAGUAAAUAAUUAUGUCAUCUCCGUGUCCUCUGUGGCCUUCAAGUGAUUCGUUGAAAUUACAGAUGUACCAUACAGUAUAAAGCAGGGCUUAAUCCUUAUGAUUUAAUGGCAAAGUUCUUGCCUUUAAUAAAAUUUGCCACCAAAUCUCUAUUCAGAUUUUCUUGAUGUAGUUUAGGUGUUAAUCAGCAGUAAAUUCUAGACAACUGUACUGAGAGAAAAACAUCUUAUAUCUUUCAUGGGUUACAUCUGACUUAUUUUUUAACAGUAAACGCUAUUCUGCAAAGCUGCCCUUUAGCACAGAUCCGCUCCUUUAUGUGUGCAACCAACAGAGUCACAACGUGGGUUCCCUCUCCAUGCUCCUUUAUUCUUCACCACAAGCAGAGCUGUGGCAGAGACACAUCUGUGAGCCUUUUACCAAGCAGUCAAUUCUCCUCCAUUAAUUUUCUAUGAGAAGAGCUCAGCUUCUGCAAGAUGCAUGUUGGAAAUACUCCGUCCACAUACAGAGAGAUGGAGCGCUGACAUGCCGGAAUCAGUGAAAAGCAAAUGCAGACAAAAUGUUACAAACACGUCUACAGCCUUAUCUUUCAGAAUGACCAUUCAGUUGAAUCAACUCCUUUCUAAAACAUUUUCAACAAAAACUGAACUUCAGAAGGCAGGAUUCAUUGCAGGGCUGUUGUAUUAGUGUGCAUUUGGCAGAACAUUACUUGUUUCCAUGUUACAAUACAA